rnacentral:tRNA from 1 species
CGGGGUGUAGCGCAGUUGGUAGCGCGCAUGGUUUGGGACCAUGAUGUCGCAGGUUCGAAUCCUGUCACCCCGACCA